rnacentral:pre_miRNA from 1 species
AGGAGGAACAACCACAGUGGCAGCGGCCAGCUAUGGAAACCUUGAUUCAGCCCCCGCAGUAACUCCGGAGGUCUCCGUCUGCAGGGCCUGGAGGCUCUGGGGCGGG